rnacentral:rRNA from 1 species
UACGUAGGGUGCGAGCGUUAAUCGGAAUUACUGGGCGUAAAGCGUGCGCAGGCGGUUUUGUAAGCCGGAUGUGAAAUCCCCGGGCUUAACCUGGGAAUGGCAUUCGGGACUGCAAGGCUGGAGUGCGGCAGAGGAGACUGGAAUUCCUGGUGUAGCAGUGAAAUGCGUAGAUAUCAGGAGGAACACCGGUGGCGAAGGCGGGGUCUCUGGGCCGAUACUGACGCUGGAGGAGCGAAAGCGUGGGGAGCGAACAGGA